rnacentral:lncRNA from 1 species
GUCAUGUUUUUUUGCAGGUUACAUUUCACAGGUAUUAAAAAAUUACACUGAUCAUGCCUGUGAUGGAGAAUAUGUUUCCCUGAGGUGCCCCCACAGAACUACCAUCAGCAUCCAGUCUUCUUUCUAUGGCAGAAUUGUACCAAGUCAUCAGAUGUGUCCUUCUCGCUCUCCCCGCUCCUUUGCAACCUUAAUUAAGGAAGAUGUUGCCUGUUCAGUUGGCACUUCCCUUCAGAAGAUGCUGGAUGAGUGUCAGGACAGACGGAGCUGCCGGUUCCUUGUUCACAGCCGGCUGUUUGGUGUGGAUCCGUGCCCUGAAACAGCCAAAUACCUCCUCGUGUGGUACAAGUGCAGGCCAAAUGAAUCCAGUGGAAGGCCUUCGUGCUUAGUAAGAGAUCAACAAAGCUGUGGCCCCAUGAAAUGUUGGUCUGCUCCAGAAAGUCUGAGCGUCCGCAGUUGCAAGUCACUGGUGGCAGCUCACUGCCUGACAUGUGCUUUGAUCCAUAAUGUUGUCAGGGUUGUAGAAUGGCUUAGAUUGGAAGGGGCCUCAAAGAUCAUCUACUUUAAACUCCCGAAGGUUGCAGAAGACAGAUGCAACGUUUUGGGCUGUGUCUCUUUUCCAGAAUUUGUCCUUUUGAACAGCAGUUAUGAAGGCAUGAAGUGGUGCUUUACUAAGAAGCCAUGUAAGAUCUCCAGGAUACAAUUCAGAUGUUUGUCUCCUUUUUUUUUUAAUUUAUUUUUUCUUUUUUUUGCCUAUUGAGGGAGCCUGAUGUGAUCCUCCUACUGCAGUAGAUGCCUUGGUUAAGUGCUCGUCUAGGCAGAAGGAACGUGAUGCUUUCUGUGUACAGAUCUGAGAAGCACUUUGGGAAGCGGCCUACAGAUUUGGACAGGAUAUUAAAAAAUAAAUAAAUAAAGAUACCAAAGCCCUUCUGCUUU